AAAAUCCGUUGGCUUUUUAGACCGUGAGGGUUCAAGUCCCUCUAACCCCA
rnacentral:tRNA from 1 species